GCAUUAUGGUCGGAGCAAGUUUUUGGACAAAUUUCAAAUUAAACAAAGUGGAAAUUUGUCCAAAAACUUGCUCCGACCAUAAUGC